CCAUUGAGAUCCGCUCCGUGGAGACGGGACACCUCGACGGAGUUUUCAUGCACAAGCGAGCUCAGCGACUGAAGUUCCUGUCGGAGAGGAACGACAAGGUGUUCUUCGCCUCGGUGCGUUCUGGAGGCAGCAGUCAAGUCUUCUUCAGACCCUCAACAGAAGCUCCAUGAUGAACUGGUAACCUGUUCCUUCGACCCAUGACCCUCCUCUUCUUCUUCUUCACUCUGAUCAUCGCCCGACAUCAGGAGCGAGGGAUGCCAGGAGGACAGUGUGUGUAUGUGUGCGUUACCAUAUGUUGUGUGUGUGUAUACCAUAGUCU